rnacentral:rRNA from 1 species
GUAAAUUUAAUUUGGCUAAGUUACUAAGGGCACACGGUGGAUGCCUAGGCACAGGGUGGCGAUGAAGGACGUGGCUACCUGCGAUAAGCCCCGGGGAGCCGGUAGCAGGCUGUGAUCCGGGGAUUUCCGAAUGGGGCAACCUGUCCCGAGUAAUGUCGGGACAUCCCGACUUCAGGGUCGGGAGGCGAACGGGGGGAAGUGAAAUAUCUCAGUACCCCCAGGAAAAGAAAGCAAAAGCGAUUCCCUUAGUAGCGACGAGCGAACGGGGAAGAGCCCAAACCAGCAAUGUGUUAAAGGCCACGGCCGUUGCAUUGCUGGGGUUGUGGGACAUCCGCGGGCCGAGCCGUGGGUAGGCCGGGAAGUUAAAAAUCAUCUCGUUAGCCGAAUGACCUGGAAAGGUCAGCCGUAGAGGGUGAAAGCCCCGUAGGCGAAAACGGGAUGACUUCCUGGCGGAUGAUCCCAAGUACCACGGGAUAAGCGGAACCCCGUGGGAAUCAGGGAGAACCAUCUCCCAAGGCUAAAUACACCCCUGUGACCGAUAGUGCACCAGUACCGUGAGGGAAAGGUGAAAAGAACCCCGGGAGGGGAGUGAAAUAGAACCUGAAACCGUGUGCCUACAAACGGUGGGAGCAAGUCCUGUUCCGAUUUAUCGGGGCAGGAUGAGUGACCGCGUGCCUUUUGCUUAAUGAGCCAGGGAGUUGCCGUGCGUUGCGAGGUUAACGGUCUAAGACCGGGAGCCGUAGCGAAAGCGAGUCCGAAAAGGGCGUUUUAGUAACGUGCGGCAGACGCGAAACCGUGUGAUCUACCCAUGGCCAGGGUGAAGUGGGGGUAAUACCCCACGGAGGCCCGAACCGGUGUGGGUUGAAAACCGCUCGGAUGAGCUGUGGGUAGGAGUGAAAAGCUAAUCGAACACGGUGAUAGCUCGUACUCCCCGAAAUAGCUUUAGGGCUAGCCUCGCGUAACAGAGUGGCGGAGGUAGAGCACUGAUUGGGCUAGGGGCGUCACAACGCUACCAAACCCAGUCAAACUCCGAAUUCCGCCACAUCGUUUCGCGGGAGUCAGGCAGUGGGGGAUAAGCUCCAUUGCCGAGAGGGGAAGAACCCAGACCGCCAGCUAAGGCCCCAAAGUACAGGCUAAGUGGUGCAAAGGAUGUCGGGUUGCUAAGACAGCCAGGAUGUUGGCUUAGAAGCAGCCAUUCAUUUAAAGAGUGCGUAACAGCUCACUGGUCGAGCGACCCGGCGCCGAAAAUUCUCGGGACUUAAGCCUGUCGCCGAAGCUGCGGUUCCGGCGAGUUUUAGACAGCUCGUCGGGAGGUAGGGGAGCAUUCCAUCCGGGUUGAAGUCUCGGCGUAAGUCGGGAUGGACUGGAUGGAAGAGCGGAUCCUGGCAUUAGUAGCGAUAAGGAGGGUGAGAAUCCCUCCCGCCGAAAGCCUAAGGUUUCCUUGCGCAACGUUCGUCGGCGCAGGGUUAGCCGGCCCCUAAGGUGAGGCCGAAAGGCGUAGCCGAUGGGAAACGGGUUAAUAAUCCCGUGCCUGCCUGAAACCGCUUGACCGUGAGGGGUGACGCAGGAGCGAAGGGCCAGCCACCUGCCGGCUUAGGUGGUCUAAGCCUGUAGGAGGAGGGUGUAGGAAAAUCCGCACCCUCAUAACUCCGAGAGGCGACGGGGAGGGCGUAAGCCCACAAACUGGUCUGGAGCACACUGCCAAGAAAAACCUCGCACGGGAGGUUUCAGGCAGACCGUACCGCAAACCGACACAGGUAGGCGGGGUGAAUAUCCUAAGGCGCGCGAGUGAGCCGUGGCUAAGGAACUCGGCAAAUUGGCCCCGUAACUUCGGGAGAAGGGGUGCCCCUAGUAGGUGAGUCCCCAUGCGGGAUGAGCCCAACGGGGUCGCAGUGAAAGGGUCCAAGCGACUGUUUAUCAAAAACACAGGUCUCUGCCAACUCGUAAGAGGAGGUAUAGGGACUGACACCUGCCCGGUGCCGGAAGGUUAAGGGGAGGGGUUAGCCCGCAAGGGCGAAGCUCUGAACCGAAGCCCCGGUAAACGGCGGCCGUAACUAUAACGGUCCUAAGGUAGCGAAAUUCCUUGUCGGGUAAGUUCCGACCUGCACGAAUGGUGUAACGACUUGGACGCUGUCUCAGCCACGGGCUCGGCGAACUUGUGGUACCGGUGAAGACGCCGGUUACCCGCCACGGGACGGAAAGACCCCGUGAAGCUUUACUGCAGCCUAGCAUUGAACUCGGGCAGGGCAUGCGUAGGAUAGGUGGGAGGCUGAGAAGUCCCGACUCCGGUCGGGAUGGAGCCACCCUUGAAAUACCACCCUUGUUCUGUCUGGGUUCUAACCUGCCCUGGUAGACCCCAGGGAGGGACAGUGUUAGGUGGGCAGUUUGACUGGGGCGGUCGCCUCCUAAAUGGUAACGGAGGCUCCCAAAGGUCCCCUCAGCACGGUUGGUAAUCGUGCGUAGAGUGCAAGGGCAUAAGGGGGCUUGACUGCGAGACCGACAGGUCGAGCAGAUGCGAAAGCAGGGCCUAGUGAUCCGGCGGUUCCGAGUGGAAGGGCCGUCGCUCAAAGGAUAAAAGCUACUCCGGGGAUAACAGGCUAGUCUCCCCCAAGAGUUCACAUCGACGGGGAGGUUCGGCACCUCGAUGUCGGCUCAUCGCAUCCUGGGGCUGGAGAAGGUCCCAAGGGUCGGGCUGUUCGCCCGUUAAAGCGGUACGUGAGCUGGGUUCAGAACGUCGUGAGACAGUUCGGUCCCUAUCUGUGGCGGGCGCAGGAUACCUGAGGGGAGUCACCCCUAGUACGAGAGGACCGGGGUGAACGAGCCUCUGGUGCACCAGCUGUCACGCCAGUGGCACCGCUGGGUAGCUAUGCUCGGAUGGGAUAACCGCUGAAAGCAUCUAAGCGGGAAGCCCACCCCAAGAUUAGGUAUCCCGAGUCCCGAUUAUAUCGGGACCCUAAAGGCCCCUGGUAGACUACCAGGUUGAUAGGCCACAGGUGUAAGUCCCGCAAGGGAUUUAGCCGAGUGGUACUAAUCGGCCGUGCGACUUAGCCAAAUU